rnacentral:rRNA from 1 species
CACGAACGCUGGCGGCAGGCUUAACACAUGCAAGUCGAGCGCCCCGCAAGCGGAGCGGCAGACGGGUGAGUAACGCGUGGGAAUCUACCCAUCUCUACGGAAUAACGCAUGGAAACGGGUGCUAAUACCGUAUACGUCCUUCGGGAGAAAGAUUUAUCGGAGAUGGAUGAGCCCGCGUUGGAUUAGCUAGUUGGUGGGGUAAAGGCCUACCAAGGCGACGAUCCAUAGCUGGUCUGAGAGGAUGGUCAGCCACCCUGGGACUGAGACACGGCCCAGACUCCUACGGGAGGCAGCAGUGGGGAAUAUUGGACAAUGGGCGCAAGCCUGAUCCAGCCAUGCCGCGUGAGAGAUGAAGGCCCUAGGGUUGUAAAGCUCCUUCACCGGUGAAGAUAAUGACGGUAACCGGAGAAGAAGCCCCGGCUAACUUCGUGCCAGCCGCCGCAGUAAGAC